AUACGUAGGGGGCGAGCGUUGUCCGGAAUGACUGGGCGUAAAGGGCGUGUAGGCGGUUGUCUAAGUCUGGAGUGAAAGUCCUGCUUUCCCGGGGGGACUAGCUUUGGAUACUGGAUGACUUGAGGUCUGAAGAGGUAAGUGGAAUUCCCAGUGUAGCGGUGGAAAGUGUAGAGAUUGGGAGGAACACCAGUGGCGAAGGCGACUUACUGGGCCGUAACUGACGCUGAGGCGCGAAAGCGUGGGGAGCGAACAGGAUUAGAUACCCGGGUAGUCCACGCGGUAAACGAUGAAUGCUAGGUGUUGCGGGUAUCGACCCCUGCAGUGCCGGAGUAAACACAAUAAGCAUUCCGCCUGGGGAGUACGGCCGCAAGGUUGAAACUUAAAUGAAUUGGCGGGG
rnacentral:rRNA from 1 species